rnacentral:ribozyme from 1 species
AAAAGAAUCAUAAUAAUCAAUUUUGUUAUCAUUCUUGAAAAAAAAAAAAAAAAAAAAAUAAAUAA